CCCAACUAAGUAUUGAGUGCUAUACAUGCUCAUACUUUUCAUGUUCAUACUUUUCAGUUGGCCAACAUUUCUACCAAAAAGAGAUUUGAGAAACCAAAAUAAUACUUUUGAAAUUGAAAUAAGCCCCCUUUAUUUUAUAUUGAUUAACAUUUUAUAUAAAAGUACUUACAUUUAAUACAUUUCUUCAAAAUACAAGCAGCCAAACAACAUACAAAUCAAAUACAAAAUUAUAAAAUGUGUUAUAUCUAUCCAUUUCUGAAACUAUAAUUCUCUAAAGUAACUUUGAAGCCUUAGAAUUGUGUUUCAUCCUUAUGCCAUAGUUGAUACAGAUAUGUUGUUGGGACAAAAAAGCAACAAAAUAUAUGGAUGUCUGUUUCUCUGUAUACAGUACCUGUGACUGUUCUCAGAACAUUCACGAUGAGCUUCACUAAUCUAAAGGCCUGUUUAUACCUAAUUCUAACAUGUGGCCUAUGUCCUGAUUUUGGGAUCUGACUGUGAUCAGACCUUGUACUUUAAACACACAAGAUCAGGUAUAUUGUACAAAUGCAUGUUAACAGCAGGUAUAAACAGGGGUCCAAACAGAACUUCUUAGAUGCAAUAUACAUUUCUGUCACACAAAUAAAAUAUCUUCCAUUUGUAGAGCAAAUAUAUUUUGUAUAUGUUUGACAUUAUGAUCCAUACAUGAUAUAACAUUAUAGAAUGCUGAAUUAAAUGGUCAAUAGAAAUUGACCAUUUUAAAACCCUCUUAAUCUUGGCCACUGUUGGAUUGUAUCCACCUUGGCUGAAUCAAAUGUUAUAAGCACAAAGACAGAAAACAAGCUUCAAUGUGCAGGUAUGAAGCCAUUAAAUGAUUACAUGUUAUUUUGAAGAUUAAGUGUUUUUGUUCUGAGGAAAGUAAUGACAGUGGAAACCACAGCAAUCAAAACUCGACCAACCACAAAUGUUACUGGUUUGCAAAGUUUCAGACCUGCUUAAGCACUUUACAUUGCGGGAAAAAAGUUGUUGGUUCCACUUUAACAACAGAGAUACGUGUACAGGUACAAAAAUAAGUAUUGUAUUGAUCUUAACUUUUCUUAACAACAAAACAAUUCUGGUGUUAAUAAAGUAUUUUGCAAAUCAGAAGCUUUACUUCAGUGUCAUACAGUAUAUACCAUAUAGUGUUGUAUAACAAAUGCUUGACAAACAGAAUGCAAACAAUGGAAACCAAAAAUUGAAAUAAAGUGUUCAGCACAUAACUGAGGAGGUAAUGCUGAUGUUAAAAACCAACAAACCUAACUGAGAUGACGGGAGCCUGAUAGGAAAUAGAAAAUUCUUAUUUUCCUUGUUUCUAUACAUUUUGUACACUGUCGUAUAAAAGGAGUAGAAAGUGUAGUCAGGCUAUGCAGCGGUUUCGCGAAUUGUCCCCUCAAGUUUCUUUGGGAGUAGCUCUCUCCUCUCAUCUAUGUUGAUUACCGGUUUUCGACAGUUCUGUCCAUCAAGGUAGAUUUUGGAAUACACCGGGUUGGAGUAGUUCAUGGGCUGUAUUAAGGAAGUAAACAUUUUGUUAUUUACCAGCACAUCACUGUAAACACAGAAGAAAAAUACCCUGUAUAUGUUGUUGCCUAGUAGGCUAUGCUACAAACUUAUCUUGAAACAGAACAAUGACUUCACUAUGUUAAAGGUCUUAUAUAUUGCACUGCAAUAAAACAUUAUAGAGGGAUAAAGGCAUAUAUGAAAAAUGUGUCUAGGUUGAUAAAUUGCUAUUCAUUGUUGGACUGUUUAAGUGUACAGCUGUCUUACAGGGAAAGGGAAUUUCUUCAGUUUUGCAUUCUAUGGGAUGUGAAACAAAACACUGAAUGGUUUAUUCAAUACCAUUUCAUUUGUUUUGUAAAAAAAAUCUACUUAAAAUUCAAAUUGCUGGUGCACUCUUUGGAUGCACG
ensembl:lncRNA